AUUGAACGCUGGCGGCAUGCCUUACACAUGCAAGUCGAACGGCAGCACGGGAGCAAUCCUGGUGGCGAGUGGCGAACGGGUGAGUAAUAUAUCGGAACGUGCCCAGUAGUGGGGGAUAACUGCUCGAAAGAGCAGCUAAUACCGCAUACGGCCUGAGGGUGAAAGGGGGGGAUCGCAAGACCUCUCGCUAUUGGAGCGGCCGAUAUCAGAUUAGCUAGUUGGUGGGGUAAAGGCCUACCAAGGCAACGAUCUGUAGUUGGUCUGAGAGGACGACCAGCCACACUGGGACUGAGACACGGCGCAGACUCCUACGGGAGGCAGCAGUAGGGAAUUUUGGACAAUGGGCGCAAGACUGAUCCAGCAAUGCCGCGUGCAGGAAGAAGGCCUUCGGGUUGUAAACUGCUUUUGUCAGGGAAGAAAUCCUCUAGGUUAAUACCCUCGGGGGGAUGACGGUACCUGAAGAAUAAGCACCGGCUAACUACGUGCCAGCCGCCGCGGUAACAC
rnacentral:rRNA from 1 species